GCCGGCGUGGCGGAAUGGCAGACGCGCCAGACUCAAAAUCUGGUCUUGGCAACAGGGUGUGGGUUCGAGUCCCUCCGCCGGCA
rnacentral:tRNA from 1 species